ACGGUAACGCAGGUGUCCUAAGGCGA
rnacentral:piRNA from 2 species